rnacentral:rRNA from 1 species
AUCAGUGGCGAACGGGUGAGUAACACGUGAGCAAUCUGCCCUUGACUCUGGGAUAACUGCGGGAAACUGUAGCUAAUACCGGAUAUUACCUUGGAAGGCAUCUUCUGGGGUGGAAAGAUUUAUUGGUGGGGGAUGGACUCGCGGCCUAUCAGCUUGUUGGUGAGGUAAUGGCUUACCAAGGCGACGACGGGUAGCCGGCCUGAGAGGGUGAUCGGCCACACUGGGACUGAGACACGGCCCAGACUCCUACGGGAGGCAGCAGUGGGGAAUAUUGCACAAUGGGCGCAAGCCUGAUGCAGCAACGCCGCGUGAGGGACGACGGCCUUCGGGUUGUAAACCUCUUUUAGUAGGGAAGAAGCGACUGGGUUUUCCUGGGAGUGACGGUACCUGCAGAAAAAGCACCGGCUAACUACGUGCCAGCAGCCGCGGUAAUACGUAGGGUGCAAGCGUUGUCCGGAAUUAUUGGGCGUAAAGAGCUCGUAGG